AGAGUUUGAUCCUGGCUCAGGAUGAACGCUGGCGGCGUGCUUAACACAUGCAAGUCGAACGAGAGAAUUGCUAGCUUGCUAAUAAUUCUCUAGUGGCGCACGGGUGAGUAACACGUGAGUAACCUGCCCCCGAGAGCGGGAUAGCCCUGGGAAACUGGGAUUAAUACCGCAUAGUAUCGAAAGAUUAAAGCAGCAAUGCGCUUGGGGAUGGGCUCGCGGCCUAUUAGUUAGUUGGUGAGGUAACGGCUCACCAAGGCGAUGACGGGUAGCCGGUCUGAGAGGAUGUCCGGCCACACUGGAACUGAGACACGGUCCAGACACCUACGGGUGGCAGCAGUCGAGAAUCAUUCACAAUGGGGGAAACCCUGAUGGUGCGACGCCGCGUGGGGGAAUGAAGGUCUUCGGAUUGUAAACCCCUGUCAUGUGGGAGCAAAUUAAAAAGAUAGUACCACAAGAGGAAGAGACGGCUAACUCUGUGCCAGCAGCCGCGGUAAUACAGAGGUCUCAAGCGUUGUUCGGAAUCACUGGGCGUAAAGCGUGCGUGGGCUGUUUCGUAAGUCGUGUGUGAAAGGCGCGGGCUCAACCCGCGGACGGCACAUGAUACUGCGAGACUAGAGUAAUGGAGGGGGAACCGGAAUUCUCGGUGUAGCAGUGAAAUGCGUAGAUAUCGAGAGGAACACUCGUGGCGAAGGCGGGUUCCUGGACAUUAACUGACGCUGAGGCACGAAGGCCAGGGGAGCGAAAGGGAUUAGAUACCCCUGUAGUCCUGGCAGUAAACGGUGCACGCUUGGUGUGCGGGGAAUCGACCCCCUGCGUGCCGGAGCUAACGCGUUAAGCGUGCCGCCUGGGGAGUACGGUCGCAAGAUUAAAACUCAAAGAAAUUGACGGGGACCCGCACAAGCGGUGGAGUAUGUGGCUUAAUUCGAUGCAACGCGAAGAACCUUACCUGGGCUUGACAUGUAAUGAACAACAUGUGAAAGCAUGCGACUCUUCGGAGGCGUUACACAGGUGCUGCAUGGCCGUCGUCAGCUCGUGUCGUGAGAUGUUUGGUUAAGUCCAGCAACGAGCGCAACCCCUGUUGCCAGUUACCAGCACGUGAAGGGGGGGACUCUGGCGAGACUGCCCAGAUCAACUGGGAGGAAGGUGGGGACGACGUCAGGUCAGUAUGGCCCUUAUGCCCAGGGCUGCACACGCACUACAAUGCCCAGUACAGAGGGGGCCGAAGCCGCGAGGCGGAGGAAAUCCUAAAAACUGGGCCCAGUUCGGACUGUAGGCUGCAACCCGCCUACACGAAGCCGGAAUCGCUAGUAAUGGCGCAUCAGCUACGGCGCCGUGAAUACGUUACCGGGUCUUGCACUCACCGCCCGUCA
rnacentral:rRNA from 1 species